GGGGCGGGCAGGGCUACACAUGCAAGUCGAGCGGAUGAGUGGAGCUUGCUCCCUGAUUCAGCGGCGGACGGGUGAGUAAUGCCUAGGAAUCUGGGGGACAACGUUUCGAAAGGAACGCUAAUACCGCAUACGUCCUACGGGAGAAAGUGGGGGAUGGACCUCACGCUAUCAGAUGAGCCUAGGUCGGAUUAGCUAGUUGGUGAGGUAAAGGCUCACCAAGGCGACGAUCCGUAACUGGUCUGAGAGGAUGAUCAGUCACACUGGAACUGAGACACGGUCCAGACUCCUACGGGAGGCAGCAGUGGGGAAUAUUGGACAAUGGGCGAAAGCCUGAUCCAGCCAUGCCGCGUGUGUGAAGAAGGUCUUCGGAUUGUAAAGCACUUUAAGUUGGGAGGAAGGGCAGUAAGUUAAUACCUUGCUGUUUUGACGUUACCAACAGAAUAAGCACCGGCUAACUUCGUGCCAGCAGCCGCGGUAAUACGAAGGGUGCAAGCGUUAAUCGGAAUUACUGGGCGUAAAGCGCGCGUAGGUGGUUCGUUAAGUUGGAUGUGAAAGCCCCGGGCUCAACCUGGGAACUGCAUCCAAAACUGGCGAGCUAGAGUAUGGCAGAGGGUGGUGGAAUUUCCUGUGUAGCGGUGAAAUGCGUACAUAUAGGAAGGAACACCAGUGGCGAAGGCGACCACCUGGGCUAAUACUGACACUGAGGUGCGAAAGCGUGGGGAGUAAACACGAUUAGAUACCCUGGUAGUCCACGCCGUAAACGAUGUCGACUAACCGUUGGGCAUCCUUCCCGCAGCCUCAGCAUUACGUCAACCGCCAGGUGAGGACGGCCGCCACCGCUGAUACACACAUGAGUUGACGAUGGCCCGCACAAGCACACAGGAUGUGCUUUAUUCCU
rnacentral:rRNA from 1 species